rnacentral:misc_RNA from 1 species
AAAAUAAUCCUACCCUUUGUGAAUUUUGUUUGUUUGAAUAAUUUUUUUUUUAAAAAAUUAUUGGAGUCUUUCCCUUUAGGUUUGCUUUUGAGUUUGUAAAAGAAUUCGAAAACAUCUAAAGGGGAUGGUCAAUAAUUUUUUUGAAAAAAGACAUUUUUUAAAAUUAAACUUUUCGUAUUCAUUUGUCUAAAAAUUAUUUUUAUAAUAUAAAAACAACUUUUGACAAUGGAUCUCUUGGUUCUCGCAACGAUGAAGAACGCAGCAAAAUGCGAUAAGUAGUGUGAAUUGCAGAAUACGUGAUCAUCGAAUCUUUGAACGCAUAUUGCACUUUUUUAGUUUACUAAAAAAGUAUGUCUGUUUGAGUAUCAGUAAAAUAUUCUCAUAAAAAUCAUUGUGUAUUUUUAUGGUUAUGAGUGUUUUACAACGAUACAAGUUGUUUCACUUUAAAUUUUUUUUUAAUAUUGAAAUUUUUCUAAUUUUAAUAAUUAAAAUUGGAUAAAAUUUUCCCGUCAAAAGGAAUAACCUAAACAAUUUUAAACGAUUAAUUUUAGCAAAAUUUUCGAAAAAAGGAAAAUUUUUAUUAAAAUAACUUGAUCUCAAAUCAGAUAAGAGUACCCGCUGAACUUAAGCAUAUCAAUAAGCGGAGGAAAAGAAACUAACAAGGAUUCCCUUAGUAACGGCGAGUGAAGCGGGAAGAGCUCAAAUUUGAAAUCUUCAAGGUUUUACCUUGACGAAUUGUAGUUUAAAGAAGUGUUUUCUGCUGAAGUUUUGGUAAAAGUUCUUUGGAAUAGGACAUCAUAGAGGGUGAGAAUCCCGUAUUUGACCAUUAUUUUCAGCUUUGUGAUACACUUUCAAAGAGUCGGAUUGUUUGGGAAUGCAGUCCAAAAUGGGUGGUAAAUUACAUCUAAAGCUAAAUAUUGGCGAGAGACCGAUAGCGAACAAGUACCGUGAGGGAAAGAUGAAAAGAACUUCGAAAAGAGAGUUAAACAGUACGUGAAAUCGUCAAAAGGGAAGCGUUUGACACCAGUGUUGUUUACUCGAAAAUCAAUUAAAAAUGGCUCGAUUUUGUAUUGCUGAGACCUUAAAAGCUCACUGUACAUUUUUCGUGUCUUUUUUAAUGCACUUUUCGUUUAACAAGUCAACAUCAGUUUCUUUUGUUGUAAAAGGGUCAUUGGAAGGUGGCUUUCUUUUCGGAGAAAGUGUUUAUAGCCUUUGGCCUCUGCAAUCGAGAGACUGAGGUCUGCAGCGUAGACUCUUCGGGGUUAGAUACAUUUGUGCUAAGUUAUAGCUUUUUAUAGACAACUUGUUGACUAUAAUUUGUCUUGUAGCUUACUCGCUUAUGCUAUUUUACCUACGCUUAGGAUG